rnacentral:rRNA from 1 species
UACGUAGGGUGCGAGCGUUAAUCGGAAUUACUGGGCGUAAAGCGUGCGCAGGCGGUGAUGUAAGACAGAUGUGAAAUCCCCGGGCUUAACCUGGGAACUGCAUUUGUGACUGCAUCGCUGGAGUGCGGCAGAGGGGGAUGGAAUUCCGCGUGUAGCAGUGAAAUGCGUAGAUAUGCGGAGGAACGCCAAAGGCGAAGGCAGCUCACUGGACGAAAACUGACGCUGAGGCACGAAAGCGUGGGUAGCAAAAGGG